rnacentral:lncRNA from 1 species
CUCAUUUUUUCUCUUGCUGCCACCAUGUGAGAAGUGCAUUUCACCUCCUGCCGUGAAUGUGAGGCCUCCUCAGCCAUGUGGAACUGUAAGUCCAGUGAAACCUCUUUUUCUUCUCAGUCUCGGGUCUUUAUCAGCAGCGUGAAAGCGGACUAAUACACUGGUCAUCCUGAUAAGGUUUUAGGGAGCCCGAUCUUUUCAUAAUGUAAAGCAGAAGACACCUUCUAAUGAGAGGCUGAGUAGGAUAACACUAGUGGGAGUUUGGAGAUCUUAUGUUAAGGAUUCCCCUGACCUCUACAACAAGUUUGGUUGUCUCAUAUUCUCUCCAGUUCCUUAGGCCAGCUCAAGUUUUAUCAGUAUCUUUUGGACCCAAUGAGUCCUUCCUGGCCUCACUCCAGAAGAAGACUGGCCUCAGUCCAGAGAAACAAAAAAUGUGAAAUUCACCCACUGGAACUCUCCUUCUCCAAGUAUCAGUCUCCUUCCAGAAUUUCCGGCUUCUGGUCUCUUUUCAAGGAAUUUAGAAGGUACUUUCUAUAUUCUGUCCAGAGUUUACAUCUGUCUACAAUACAGGGUUGCUCUGAUACUAGCCUACUUCUUUAUUUGUGUGAUUUUAAAAUUAGUUAUUACUCUAUUCUAAUUUGUCUAAAGUCAUCUAUUUUUCAGAAAUAUUUACAGGGGCUUACUUUCUAAUUUAUGUUCGAAUACAGGUUACUCUAUCUAGCAGUUUAUCUCAUUUGUUCUUUCAAAGACCAAACUGCUGAACUCGUUAAUCUUUUGUGUGGUUUUCGUGUCUGAGUUUCUUUCAGUUCUGCUCUAAUUUUGAUUAUUUUUUGUCUUCUGCUAACUGUGGGGUAGUUUGCUCUCCUUUCCCCAGUUCCUCUAGGGAUGAUGUUAUGUUGUUAAUUUGAGAUGUUUCUAACUUUCUGAUGCAGGCAUUUAGCUCUAUAAAUAUCUUUUUUAACACAGCUUUAACUGUUUCCAGAAAUUCCUGUAUCUUAUAUCUCUCUUCAAAUUUGUUUCAAAGAAUUUCUUGAUUGCUGCCUUAAUUUCAUUGUUUACACAAAAGGUACACAAUGUUGUUUAAUUUACAUGUAUUUGUAUAGUUUUGAGCAUUUUUCUUGGUUUUGAUUUCUCUUUUUAUUGCACUAUGGUCUAAGAGUAUCGUUGGUAUGACUUCAGUUUUGAAUUUUCUAAGGAUUGUUUUACAGCUGAUUUUGUGGUCAGUUUUAGACUAUGUGCUCUGUACAUAUGAGAAGAAUGUAUAUUCUAUUGUUUUUGUUGGGGAGAGUUCCGCAGAUGUCUAGUAGGUCCAUUUGGUCAAGAAUCAAUUUAAGGCCUUGGAUAUUUUUGUUUAUUUUCUGUCUUGAUGAUCCAUCUAAUAGUGUCAGUGAGGUGUUGAAGUCUCUUACUAUUAUUGUGUAGUUAUCUAAGUCUCUUUGCAGGACUCUAAGAAAUUGCCUUAUGAAUCUAGGUCCUCCUGUGUUUGAUGCAGACAUAUUUAUGAUACUUAGAACUUUUUGUUGAAUUAAACCCUUUAACAUUACGUAAUACCAUUCUUUGUCUUUUUAACUGCCUGUUUUGUCUGAAAUUAGAAUAGCAACACCUGCUUUUUUCUAUUUUUCUUUUGCUUUGUAGAUUUUUCUCCAUCGCUUUACUUUGAGCCUAUGGAUGCCAUUGCCUAUUAGGUGGGUCUCUUGAAGACAGCAUUCCACUGGGUAUUGCUUCUUUAUCCAACCUGCCAACUGCACAUUUUAAUUGGGGCAUUUUGUGCAUUUACAUUCAAGGUUUAUAGUGAUAUGUGUGGAUUUGGCCCUAUUAUCAUCUUGUUUGCCGGUUAUUACGUAGACUUGUUAGUGUGGUUGCUUUUGUAGUGUCAAUGAUCUAUGUAUUCAAGUGUGUCUUUUAUGGUGGCUGGAAAUGGUGUUUCUUUUCUAUAUUUAGCACUCCUUUCAAUUAGACAGGUCUGGCAGUAUAUUAGGGUUCUCUAGAGGGACAGAAUAAUAUAUAUAUAUAUGUGUGUGUGUGUGUGUGUGUGUGUGUGUGUGUAUAUGUGGGAGUUUAUUAAGUAUUAACUUAUAGGAUCACAAGUUCACACAAUAGGCUGUCUGCAAGUUUAAGGAAAAGGAAGACCAGUCUGAGUCUCAAAACUGAAGAAGUUGGAGUCCAGUGUUCAAGGGCAGGAAGUAUCCAGCACAGGAGAAAGAUGUAGGCAGGAAGGGUAGGCCAGUAUCCUCUUUCAUGUUUUUCUGCCUGCUUUAUCUUCGAUGGCAGCUGAUUAGAUUGUGCCCACUAGAUUAAGGGUGGGUCUGCCUUCCCCAGCCCAGUGACUCAAAUGUUAAUCAGCUUUGCCAACACAUUCACAGACACACCCAGGAUUAACACUUUGUAUCCUUCAAUCUAACCAAGUUGACACUAGUAUUAACCAUCACAAGUGGUAAUGUAUCCCCUUUGCAUUUGCUUUUCUGAAUAGGACCUUAUUUCUCCUUCCUUAUGAAACUUAACUUGGCUGGAUAUUAAAUUAUUGAUUGCAAUUUAUUUUCUAUAAGAAUUCUGAUUAUAAGCAUCCUAUCUCUUCUGGCUUGUGGGGUUUCUGCUGAAAGUUCUACUGUUAGCCCAGUUGGGUUCCCUUUGUAGGUGACCUGCCCCUUCUCCCUAGCUGCCUUUAACAUUUUUUCUUUCAUUUUAACCUUGGAAAAUCUGAGGACUAUAUGUCCAUGGGAUGGUCAUCUUGUGUAGUAUUUCAUAGGGGUUCUUUGCACUUCCUGUAUUUGAAUGUUGGCCUCUUUAGGAAGGUUAGGGAAAUUUCCAUGGACAAUGUCCUGAAAUAUGUUUUCCAAGUUGUUUGCUUUCUCUCCCAUUCCUUCAGAGUUGCCAGUGGGAUAUAAAUUUGGUCUCUUUACAUAAUCCCAUAUUUCUUGGAGGUUUUGUUCAUUCUUCAUCUUUUUUCUUUAUUUUUGUCUGACUGAAUUAUUAUGUAGAACUGCUCUUCGAGGUCUGACAGUCCAUCCUCAGCUUGGUUGAUCAUGCUGUUAAUACUCGUGAUUGUUCUCUGAAAUUCUUGAAGUCAGUUUUUCAGCUCUAUCAGAUCACUUUGGUUCCUUCCUAAGAUGGCCAUUUCAUCUCUCAUCUCCUAAAUCAUUUUAUUGUAUUCCUUAGAAUGCUUGGACUCCCCUGAAUCUUGAUGAUCUUCAUUUCUGUCCAUAUUCUUAAUUCUGUCUGUCAUUUCAGUCAUUUCAGCCUGGUUGAGAACCACUACUGGAGAACUAGUGUGGUCAUUUGGCCAUUCUGGUUUUUGAGUGGCCAGAGUUCUUGUACUUGUUCUUUAUCAUCUGUGUAGACUGCUGUUCCUUCAUUUUUUGAAGUUGCUGUCCUUCGUAUAGGUGUUUUUGCUGUUACAUUUUUUUUUUUAAACUUUCAGGGUUUGAUUGUGGUAAACACUGGGUUCAAUAAACUAGCUUCAUUUCUGGAAGAUUUUCAAGGGAAAAGACUCAGCUUAGGACUCCUGGCCUGGGUACUCUAACCCUGGGGCCUGGUGUCAGGCCCCCAGCUUUGUUCUCUGGCCCCUGGAGGCUGUGCUGGAAGGGGUGAGGUGUUUCCAGAUCCUGGCCAGAGCACUCUGAUGACUGAUGCUGGUGAAAGUGCUUUGUUAGAUCGGCAGCAAUGGGAUCUAUGCUCAUUCACAUGUGCUAGCAGCAGCAGCAAGGUGGCAGGGUGCUUGCACAUUGACUGGGUGCAGGGUACCCAUAGGAGUGGGGCUGCAGUGUUCCUGCAUGCACUCAUGCUGGCAGCAGAGGUGGGGCAGAGUGUUACUGGGUGUGGGCUGCCAACCUCCAUGCACACAUUUGUAGCAGUGAUGGUGGUUGUGCUAGGGGUGGAGUGGUGGUGUUGUCAGUGUCCACAUGUGCAUUCACAUGGGCAGCAGUGGUGGCACAGGUGGGGCAGGGUUUCAGACCUCAGCGUGUGCAUUCACAUUGGUGGCAGAGGCUUUGUGGGUAGGCAGGCUCAUCCUAUAUUUUAAAGCUGGUAAUUAAAGACAUUAUGACACUUGGUAAUUUUUGUUUCUUUAAGCUGUAGUUUUUAGCAAGAAUAAAGAUAUCAACAGAUGCUAAUUACUGAAAUUUAACUUUUGCUGUUCCUACUGGAACUUACCAAAUGUUCUGUUGCAUUAUUAGAUCUGUUUUUCUGGACAAAAUAUACCUUGAAAACACACAUAAUAAGAGAAAAAGAUUAUGGUGAAGUAAUCUCCAAAGUUUUCUAAGAGAUAAGGAAAUAAAAAGUAAAGGGACAAAGAGAAAUAUGAAUGAGGACUGCCUCUGGCUACAUACGGAAAAUGCUACAAUUAGAUGUUCAAUCAGAGGGCAAGUCUGAGGGGAGUUAGAAAUCCUACUAUGGGUGCAACUCUAAAAUUCUGAAAAAGUAAAGGGAUGGUGGAAGGAAUUAUUUUUGAGAAAUAUGGCUUCUACUCUGAAACCUUUGAUUCUGGGCUUAAUUAUUUAAGAUAGUUCUUGCUAGUUAUCCUUGCAGUUUUACUGGUGUAAUUGUAAAUUGAGUGUUACAAUUCCUCUUGAAGUCUCCUAAUAAUCUAUCAGAGGUUUCUUGUUCCUUUUGUCUUUUUGGUCAAAUUCAUAAAAUGAAUAUAGUAUCUUGACAACCUGUUUUAAACAUUGCUUGUUUAUCCAACUUGCCAACUGCACAUUUUAAUUGGGGUAUUUUUGGACCCAAUUAAAUAAAGCCUUUACAAAAGGCUUUUAUUUCUAGUGCAGUGAAGGCUUUACAAUUAUUGCAUUUACUUUUAACAACAACAACAAUACAUGGUUUGCACACAUUUCAUUCCCCUUCAUAAACUCUCUCUCUUCUUCUUUCUCUUCGUACUUGUCCUUCCUCCUCCUCCUCUCUCCCUCUCAAUGGUGAUUUAAAGAUAGUCUGUUGCUAUUUGAGGACUUUCACAGAUCCAGUAACAUGGCCACUAGAAAUUUUAGUUUAUGUCUUGAUCCUGAUCAAAUGCCUGGCUCUUCCAUCCAUACCCUUAAGUUUAUCCAGUGUCAAUUUGAUAGGGACAGAAGGAAGCCAAGUGCCUAGGUAGGUAGGGGCAGGUACCCUUUGAAAACCCACCUCCAAGCCAAAGACAGUUUAAAGCCUGAAAGCUAAACUACAAGCACCGGAUUGAGAACUUGUCCUCCUAUUUGGCUUGCUUUCCUCUGAUCCCCACUCUUCACCUAUUUUACAUACACCUAACCUUUUCUAAUUGGCUUUCUACACUGCCCUACCCACCUUUAAAUGGUGCUUUCACUUUAAGCUUUUUUGCAUACUCACAAAACAAUCAUCAUGCACACUCCAUCCUGUGCCUGUAAAGGCCCCAGACUCAGUUGGUAGAGAGGAAUAUGGCCUGACUUUGGAGAAGAGACAACCUGACUUCAGGGAAGAUUACCUGCCCUUCUUUUCCCCUCUCUAACUCCCCUCUCUGCUGAGACCUGUUUUCAUCUAUCAAUAACAUUCUCCACCUUCACCAUCCUUCAAUUGUCCUUGUGACCUCAUUCUUCUUGGCCACUGGACAAGAGCUUGGGACCCACCAAGUGAGGGUACCCAGAAAAGGCUGUCACACUGGUGCUUUGCCCUCAUUGGUGGAGAGCAGCCACACCAUGCAAUGAGGCAAGGAGCCAACUGAGCUGCUAACACACUGCUGUCUAUCAUACUGCAGACAGCAGAACUAAAAGACCACUGUAACACCCCCUCUGAGGCUUUGGGGUUGCAGGCACCCUCACUUGGGUGCCACUGUGUUCCCCUCAGGGCAACACACCUGGUCUGGCCAUGGGCCCCCAUGUGGAGCUUGCUCCUGUGUCAGUGCCUGGAGUGGCCAUCUUGAUCUCGCACUAGCUCACUCAUGUGUUCCCUCCCACAAGGGGCUGAGCACAGAGUGUUGAGUAGAUGGGGUGCCCCUGCCAUGAGUCCAGUGAAGGGGCUGAGAAAACUCCUGCAUCAAUUUCAUAGUGAUUUUUUUUUUCAGCAUUUGUGUUUGUUUUUUUUUUUUUUUUGGCCUCUUUCUUUAGCAGGGCCAAUCACACUGCUGUCACUGGCUUCAAACUAGAAAGCUGAAUCUACCACUUCCCCUCCUUGGCAAUUCCUUCUACCCUUUACUCUGUAGGAGCUUCUGUUGCCUGUGUGUUGACCCAGGGCUCACCAAUUCAGACCAGUAACUUCAUUUCUGCCUAAAUGAAAAUACAAAAUACUAUUUUGUAUAUACCAAAUAAAAGUAUCCAUAACUAGGAAAUGAAAUGAAAAUACAAAACAGCUUUGAAAAAAGUCAAGAACAAAAGAAUCUUUGUAGUUUGUCUUGAAUGCAAUACAAGCAAUUCUCACAAUUGGCCCAUAUGAUCUAACCAAAACAAUUCAUUAAACUUGAAUAUGUUGAUGACAUAUGAGAAUGUUGUGUAUAGCUGAUAUGGUUUGACUGUAUCCCCACCCAAAUCUCAACUUGAAUUGUACCUCCCAGAAUUCCCACGUGUUGUUGGAGGGACCCAGAGAGAGGUAAUUGAAUCAUCGGGGCCAGUCUUUCCCGUGCUAUCCAUGUAGUAGUGAAUAAGUGUCACGAGAUCUGAUGGGUUUAUCAGGGUUUCUACUUUUGCUUCCUUCUCAUUUUUCUUUUGCUGCCACCAUGUAAAAAGUGACUUUCACCUCCUGUCAUGAUUCUGAGCCUUCCCCAGCCAUGUGGAACUGUAAAUCCAAUUAAGCCUCUUUUUCUUUCCAGUCUUGGGUAUGUCUUUAUCAGCAUCAUGAAAAUGGACUAAUACAAUAGCCUUUAAGGAACUGUGACUGAAUUAUAUCUGAGUACCCUGGCACUUAGGAGCAAAGUAUCCCAUCUUUGCCCAUGACUGGGCAUGCAGAUGUCAACAAUAAUUGAAUGCAAGUGCAGCUCUACAAAUAAGAAAAAUUACGAGAUAGUGGUUUGUGAGAAAGGAUAGAAAAAUAAAGAAGCUGCAUUUUCAGUGCUGAAUGUAUUGUGAUUGAAUUACUAGAUAGUUUCAUCUGUCAUUGUGGCUGAGCAUAAAAAAGUCAUACACACAAUGCAAAAAAGAAAAGUACAUUAAUAUAUCCUACAUUAGACUAAUCAUUUUUGGUAUAUGGGUUUAUUAAAUCAGUUGCUAUCCAUAUUUGUGGAAGAAUAAUACAAGUUAAUUGUUCCUACUUUUGGUAUAUUUCAGUUUCCCAAAUGGCUCUUCAGAUAAUUAAUAUAGUGGAACUUGUACAUGGGAUAGGAAACCAAGUUCCUAAGCAAGUAUGACUGGCUUGAGUAUCACCCUAAACCAAGGUAAUGCAAGAGCAGAUAAGAAUAAAAAUAGUGGUAAUUAUAAUAAUACUGUAAAUAGAAUAUCCAAUGUGCCAGAGAUGAUUCUGGCACAAUGGCAGGCUUUGCCUAGGUGAAGAAAAUUAUACUUCAUGAGAAUGCCAGAGUUUUCAAUCUAUUUUGAGCCUUAGGAUCAAUAGAUGUUUGCCCACUGAUGCACUUUUGGCCUUAAUUCACCAAGACAAACUUGGCUUUUAAGAUAUGCUAUCUAGAUUUCCAUAUCAUUCAAUUUAUAACAAUUUUUCUCAAUGCAUUCAUUCAAGUUUACACCAAUUUUUGAAUACAAACUAAUGUGCCAGUUAACAUACUAGGUGCUGUGUAUACAUUGAACAGAAAUGAUACCUGUUGUCACAAAACACAAGUAUGCAUUAAGGAACAUGAUAUUUCAUAUUGAUAUUACUAUUUUGUAAAAUUAAUCUGAAUUAAUAAACUUAAUUUUAGACCCACAAAAUGCAGGGCUGAGACAUGUUCUAGCUUUCUGUAUCUACUUCAUAUGUUACUAUUUUAGAUGGACUAUCUGAAUAGAUGGAAAAAGCAGAAAAUAUAUUUGAAGCAGCCUUAAAAAUAGGACAAAAUUGAAAUAAUUAUCAGUUCACAUUCAUAGCAGAUUGACACAUAUUACUGUAUCAGAUAUGUACUGGACAGUGUAUCUGUUAGAUAUUUAUAAUUGUAUUUAAAAACAUAAAGUAAGGUAUGGAAGUAUUAAAAAGCUGAACAUAAGUUAGCCAUGGUAGGGGCUUGAAGUUUUUGUAGAGCUCAAGAAGUAUUCGUUUUAUUUCUAUUUUUUUAAGUUUUCAAUGAAAAUGUAUAAAUGGAUUACCUAUAUUCUUCAAACAUCCUUUAGUAUUCCAAGAUGUUAUGUUUUAUUUUAUAAGUGACCUAACAUCAGGCACUGGAUGAAGAAUAACAUACACCUUCUAGCAUUCUCAUCAAUGUAGUUUUCAGCAUAAAAACAUUAACAUUUUUGUGUUUUUGUAUGGUCUCCAAUGGGACUAAAUUGAAAAUGAAUUAAAACAAGAAAAAAUAAAACCAAGUUAACUCAGUAACCAAUGGGACUGAUACAGUAAAAACCAUUAGUGACAGAGUAUUAAUAGAUUGGCUAAAAUCUAUUUAAAAAUUGCUCAUUCCAAAUAUGCAGUGUUCCAUGUAAUAGAAUAUAAUACUAAGCUAGAAAUUUGGAUUUGCUUAUGUAAAUCUGGCUUAUUCCACAUAAAUAAGAUAUGUGGCUUAAGCCAGUGACUGAAUUGUGAAUUUUUGUUGAAUUUCUCUGGAUUUAUUUAAGAUGAAAUGAAUAUUGAAUGAAAGUACCAGAAAAUGUAUUACUUUACUUAUAAGAUGAUAUGGUUUGGCUGUGUCCCCAUCCAAAACUCAUCUUGAAUUGUAAUUCCCAUAUUCCUCACGUGUUGUGGGAGGGGCCUGGUAAUCAAAUCAUGAGGGCAGUUACCCUCAUGCUGUUCUCGUGAUAGCGAGUGAGUUCUCAUGAGAUCUGAUGGUUUUAUAAGGGACUUUUCCCCUUUUGCUUGGCACUUCUCCUUCCUGCCACCAUGUGAAAAAGGACAUGUUUGCUUCUCCUUCUGCCAUGAUUGUAAGUAUACUGUUUAUCUCCAAGCUGAUCAAUUUGUAUAUUUUAAAUAUGUAAAGCUUUUUGUAUGUCAGUAAUAUCUCAGUAAGUAAUUAAAAAUAAAAAUUUGGUCACUCCUAUGUUUAAAAAAGAAAAUAAAUUUUCUAUCAUUGCCAUUUUGCUAAUAAUUUUUAAAAAUCCUGGGUGUUAAAAUAUGUGAGAUCCUUUUGUUGCGUCUAUCGUGUGAGCUUAUCUUUUGUUAAUGUAAUAAAUUGUUUAUUUGCUUUUUGAUUAUUAAAGCAAUUUUGUAUUCCUGAAAUGAAACUUAGCCGUGAUCUAUAGUACUUUCUAUACAUUACUGAGCAAUUGGAUAUGCUGUUUUUUCUAUUUUCUGCAUAUCUGUUUAUGAUUUUUAUUGCCCUAUAUCUAAUAUCUUUUUAAUGCUGUUGUCAGAUUUUGGUAUAGAGCUUAUGCUGGCACAAAAAAGAGUGAGAGGUAUGCCCUUUUACUAUCCCCUGAAAGACUGUUUUGUAAGAUUGAUGUUAGUUGUUACUUAUAAUAGAAAAAGAUAUUGCUAAAUCUAUCCUUUUUGAAGAUUUUCACUUGCAGAUUCAAUUUCUUUAAUAGACAUAAAGCUCUACACAUUUUCUAUUUAUUCUUGAAUCAGAAUUGGUAAGCUUGGGCUUUUAUAGAAUUUUUUACUUCUAUCAAAAUUUUCAAAUGUUUUUACAUAAAGCUGCCAUAGAAAUUAUUCAUAUUUGUAGUAUUGGUAUAGAAGUAAACUUUUUUUAUUUCUGAUGUUUGCAAUUUAUAAUUUUCAUUUUUAAAUUUUGAUAUUGAUUUAUCAAAUUUAUUAGUGUGUUAAUGAACUAGUGUUUGGCUUCAUUGAUAUUUCUAUAUUCUAUACUUGUUUUCUAAUUCAUCUAUUUCUAUCAUAUUUCUUUUAAUUCUAUGUGAGUUUAAUUUGUCACGUUAUCUUCUAGCCCCUUGAAAUGAAUGCUUAAAGACAUGAUAUUCAGUCUUUCUUUUAUAAAAUAUACAGGCAAGGUAUAUAUUAAGUAUAUAUAUAUAUAUUUGUCCCUAAGUCAUGUCUUACUUAAUUCUUACAAGUUUUUAUGUGCCACAAUUUUAUUUCCAUUCCAUUUAAAAUAAUUUCUAAUUUCCACUGUGAUAUCAUUAAAAAAACAUGGGUUAUUUAGAUGUGUUUUCUUUUAAAGUUAGAAUUUUUUGAUUGAUUUUUUCACUUCAUACCACUGAGGCUAGAGAAAAUGCUCUUUAUGAUUCAAUCAUUUGAAAUGUAUUAAGGUCUUCUCUAUUUUUCAAUAUGUGGUCGAUGUCUAUGAUUAUCAUUUGUAAUUUUAAAAGCAGGGAUAAUGUGCAGUCAUUGAGUGCAGAAGUCUAUAUAUGCCUAUUAUGUAAAGUUUGUAAAAUAAGUUUUCAAUCUUCUGUAUCCUUAGUUCCCCUAUAUUCUCACCAGUAACUAAAAGCAUAGUGUCCAGAAUGAAUCUAAGUAGAAGAAGGGAAGACGAGAAGGACACAAGAAGGAAGACAAGGAAAAAUGUCGACCUCAAAGAACUAGAGGAACAACACUGGAGUUAUACGAAACACCCAGAAUUAGAAUCAGAGCAAUUUGAUUGGAUUUACUACAGCUGAUUCUAGAUACAAGAACUUUACCGAGCCAUUUACAAUUUUUGUGCUUCAAUUUCAUCAUUUUAAAACAGAAAGAAAGCAUUUACCUUAUACGCUUGUUGCUUAGAUUAUAAAGGAAUUAUCUAUAUAAAAAGUACAAUAAAGAAGAAUAUAAAUGUAAGAAUGUAGAGGGUCACAAACAUUGUUUGAAAUAUCCAUGCUUUUCAUUUUGGAGUGAAAAGAGGAAAAAUACUAACUGUAAAAUUAAAUUCAUUACUAUAUCAAAGUCAAGCCUGCCUAUCAAGUCAUUUGACAGUUAAAAAUGUUUUGUUUAUCCCAUAAACUUUAUGAAAAAACUAGUUCAUUGCCAAAGGGAUGUUACUUACAGCAAAAUCUCUAGAAGCUCUGAAAUAGAAUUUGAGUUUUAUUUGCAUUUUAUUUUUACAUUCUUACUACUCUACUAACUACAUUCUGCCUAAGUAAAUAUGCUCAAAGCUUUAAAAGUAGGCUGAAUGAAUCACUGGUGGAAAAAUAAUGACCAGGAGCCAACAACAAGCUGAAAAAACAAGAAUCCAUAAUCUCCAUAUGAGAGGAAACUGUGUGGUAAGAUGGAUUUAAUGGGUCUGGGCUAAAAUGGUAAAAGUAUAAUGGAUGUAGCUAAAACAAACAAGGUCCAACUCUAAACCAGCACAAGAAAAACAGAGCAAGGGCAUUUGAUUUCAUUUAAAAGAAAUUAAAUUUUAAAUCAAAGUAAAAAAUGUAAGUCAUUACAAUAUUGAGGUAGUUAGUGGAGUUGACUGUAUAAGAAAUUGGCUACUACUUUCAAAGGGCUUCAUCAUUUUAAAGCUAUACAAAUAUUUGUCUUGGAUAAGGUUAAAAUUAUGAAGACAUCAAAAUUCAAAGAAAGUUCAAUGCCUUUUGGGGGUCAGAAAGUCUGAAAAUAAAAAAUUCAUGUAUUUUCUUUUGUUCAUAAGAAAUGAAAAGUGGUCUUUCAUUUUUUCCCAUCUAAUAUAUCAAUAUAGCAACUUUUGUCAAACAAAGGAGAUAAACAUCUGGGUUACUAUGGGUAAGUUUUUCUCUUUCUUUUCUUAAGGGCAACCAUGCUUUCCAUUUGUCUGUAAUACUAGAAAUAUUUCACUGUAUUUUUCUACUCUAUGCCUCAACUCUAUAUUUGACUUCAUUAGAUUUUAUAAAUUGUCUCUAAAUUUUAUUUUGUGUUUAUACUCUAAACAAAUUUAUACUUUAGGGUUUUUGCCUAUGGAGUCGAAAUAGUUUAUCAUUUUCUGACUGUAAUUCCUGUAACAUAUUUAAAAAUUAAAAACUAACUUUUUUCAUGUUGAAUUAUAUUGGAACAAUGUUUUCUUCCUUAUUUUUAUAUUUUUUCUUUUAAGUUUGUUCCCAAUAUCAACAAAAAAUAUAUUUUUAAUGUGCCUUUAUUUUAUCUCCACUCACAUAACUCCUGGGAAAAUUUUUUUUCUUGAGGAUGAGGAACUAUUUUAAAAAUCAUAUUUUCUGUUCUUUACGAUGCAAAACACUCUAUGCCAAUCCCUUUAUUUGCCUUGUGGCCAGUCUCAGUAUUUAAGAUGGUUAUUAGUAAGCUAUCCAAAGACAUGUAAAAACUGAAGCUCAGAGAGGCUAGGUAAUAUGCUUAGCUAUUAGCUUGGUGCAAAAGUAAUUGCAGUUUUUGCCAUUACUUUCAACUCUAAAAACCACAAUUACUUUUGCACCAACCUGAUACUUAGCACAACCAGCUAGUUACUGAGCAAUGGAAUCAAAAUUGGAACUCAUUUAUUAAGCCAAGGUUUCUCUUUGUUCUAGUAUAUGAGGUUGCCUGUGGAAGAGUCAAAAAAUUAAAGAUCUGACUGUAGCACUUUUGCAGUUUUUCUGUUUCAUCAUUUACAGUUUUGCUAUUGGGGUUUGUUUUCUAUGUAUUCCUUAUUAUUUAAAUUUUCAGUAACAUGACAAGUUACUGAAAGAGUGAAUAGUGUUUUAUAAGUUAAAGGCCUACACAGGCAGAUAGUUUGAAGUCAGGAGUUCAAGACCUGAAUGGGAAACAUAGUGAAAUCCCUUCUCUACACAAACGAAACAAAACAAAACAAAACAAAAAGCUGAGUGUGGUACGCCUGUAGUCCCAGCUACUUGAAUGGCUGAAGUGGGAGGAUCUCUUGAGCCCCAGAGGUUGAGGCUGCAGUGAGCCAUGAUCGCACCACUGCACUCCACCCUGGGAAACAGAGCAAGACUGUCUCAAAAUAAUAAUGAUAAUAAUAGUAGUAAUAAGAAGAAGAAGCUGAAGGGGUUUAUAUGAUACAAUUUCUGUUAUGUAUUAUGUUGUAUAUGUGUUAUGUAAAAAAGAGAAAAAGGAAUCACAAGAUUUUCACCAUGAAACCAGAAUGUGUUAGCGAUUUUUCUCAUGGAGGUGUGAUUACAGGUAAUCUUUAGUUUCUCCUUCAUGCUAAUCUGUGUUUUUUAAAUUUUCUACAAUGCCUACAGAUUAUUUUGAUACAUAUUAUUUUUUAAGAACAACUGUUACUACAAAUACCAAAGUGUGGUUAAAUUAUCCCUCUUUUGUCUCAAAAUAUGGGAACUGAGAAUAAUAGUUUAAAGUAUAAAGGAGAUCUAUCUUUAUGUUAUUUAUUAUACUUUAAGUUCUGGGAUACAUGUGCAGAACAUGCAGGUUUGUUACAUAGGUAUACAUGUGCCAUGGUGGUUUGCUGCACCCAUCAACCUAUCAUCUACAUUAGGUAUUUGUCCUAAUACUAUCCCUCCCCUAGCCCCCAACCCACAAACAGGCCCUAGUGUGUGAUGUUCCCCUCCCUGUGUCCAUGUGUUCUCAUUGCUCAACUCCCACUUAUGAGUGAGAACAUGUGGUGUUUGGUUUUCUGUUUCAGUGUUAGUUUGCUGAGAACGAUGGUUUCCAGCUUCAUCCAUGUCCCUGCAAAGGACAUGAACUCAUCCUUUUUAUGACUGCAUAGUAUUCCGUGGUGCAUAUGUACUACAUUUUCUUUAUCCAUUCUAUCACUGAUGGGCAUUUGGAUUGGUUCCAAGUGUUUGCUAUUGUGAACAGUGCUGCAAUAAACAUAUGUGUGCCUGUGUCUUUAUAGUAGAAAGAUUUAUAAUCCUUUGGGUAUAUACCAAGUAAUGGGAUUGCUGGGUCAAUGGUAAUUUUGGUUCUAGAUCCUUGAGGAAUUGCCACACUGUCUUCCACAAUGGAUGAACUAAUUUACCCUCGCACCAACAGUGUGAAAGCAUUCCUAUUUCUCCACAUCCUCUCCAGCACCAGAUCUAUCUUUAAAUCCCAUUUUGCUCCUAGCAUUUAACUCCUACAGUUAUGAAGUUUAGAGAGGCAAUAAAUAUAAAGCACUUGAGACAGUGCUUGGCAUGCAAGCAGUGAUUAAUUAAGCAAGAGCAAUUUUGUAAAGUAGCAUUUUAUCAAUUUUAUGAGAUUCUGGGGUGCAUUCUAUGUUAGGAGGGAUAUCAGGGCACCCUAGAAUGGGGUUUUGUUUGUGAUAGGAUGACAAGGAGAACUUAUGUGGCAUAGAGCUGUAGCUAUGCUAAUUUUUUAUUUUGCUGCAGAGUUGUAACAUGUCUAAACAAUGCCCUGCCAACUCAGAAGCCACAAAUAAGGGCACACAAUUUUACAAUUUGCUGAAUCUUCUUUCUAUUUAUUUGGAAGUUAUGGGAUAUGACAGAGGAGGCCCUUUUAGGGAAGCUUCAUUCAGCCUGUCCAGUGAGAGAGUUACUCACUUCAUCCUCAAGGUGAAACUACAGAAAUUGCUUUGCCUUUGCACUGCCCUAGGAACUGCUGACCACUCUACACUAUUUCUAAAAUGCUGAUCAGAUCACAGUUUCUCAAUCAACUCUUUCUUAUUAAAUUCCUUCCAAAGCUGUCUCUGUGCUGCUUAUGCUUCCGUUAAAACUUAGAUAUUUAAGUUAAUUUUCAUUUGUUUUAUAUGUCUAUUUCUCCUAUUACAAACAAUAAACUAUGCAGAAAGUGAUUGUGCAACUUUAGUCAAUAAAUUGUAAAAACUUAAAAAAAAUCAGUAUUUAUGGAUUGCUUGGAGAAUACAUUGUAGUUAACUCUAAAUGAGCAGAUUAUCAUUUUAUUUAUUCCAAGGAACUGAAAUAAUCAGAGGUUUAGCAGGGGGUACUAAAAAUGUUUAAAUAAUUGAAACUUUUCUCAAUAAUUCAAAAGAAUAGGAAAACAUUUUUCUUAGGGGACAACUUGAAAUAUUUCUUAGGCGAUUUCUGUAUAAAUAAUAUGACACUUGCAACAACUUUUUAGCUUUUCAAAACAAAAGAGAGUUAUACUUCUUCCUAAAUUAAUAAAAUAUAAUAGCAACAUCAUCUGUCUGUAGUACACAAUUAAACUAUACUCAAAGGCAUAAAUAAUAAAAUUCUGUUCAAGCAAAUGCAUUGCAUUUGUUUUUAAAUGGACCAUUAAAGUGUGGCUUUGAAACAAGCAGCAAAUAAAUCCAUUGUCAGAUUUUUCUAAGUACUAUUCUUUACUAAAUUUAAGUAUUCCUUCAAUCAUAUAUUCAUUAUGAUCACUGUAUAUAGCCAAAUGCAAUCUCCAC